AGUACACUAUGAGAACAGUACACUAUGAGAGUAGUACACUAUGAGAACAGUACACUAUGACUGCAUGACAUCAUGACUGCAUGACAUCAUGAAAUUCUAAAUUCUUGAUGACGUCUACCGGUCAGUGGCGAGGCCACAUCAGUCUUUCAGUCUCCACGACAAAGAACAAACCUCCUUCACAUCAACACAGACUUCUCCAGAAAAUCUGAAAGACUCGUGCAGUCCAGCCAGGAGACGCCAAAUUGUAGUGGACAUUUUACAACACUCGCAGACUCGUCCUCUGAAGGGAACAAUGAUGGGAUUUAAAGGAGCCAUGAAAACGUUUUCAAAGAAACUAGGAUUUAUAAGCAGUGGCUCAAAGGCUGUAGAAGCUGAACUUGAGAAAUUAAAGAAGGAAAAUGCCCAGCUGAGGAUGACUUUGGAGGACAUGUCGAAACAAAAUGGAAGGCUUUAUCCUGCAUGUCCUGAGUCAGAUGAAGCCAAGCUGCUGGAGGUUCCUUCAGAUGAGAUCGCCAUUCUCAAGGAGCAACUGCGAGAUGCUCAGGAAAAAAAUCAGAAAUGGAAAGUUUAUGACCAUGAGAGAGAGUCCUGUAUGCAGUGGAAUCUGGCCAGACGUAUAGAGCUCGAGCAGCAGUUAAACCAAGCCCAGCGAACACUAGAACAACAGCAAGAAGAGACCAAAUCAGAAGGUCAGUCACCUGCCUCCAUGCAGCAGGAGAAGCAGCUGCAGGAGAGCCCGAGGGAGAUGGAGGAGGAACGCAAAAGGGCGAGCCGCCUACAGGUCGAGUUGGUGGCGCUGAAAGCCAAGUAUGAAGAGAAGAGCCGUGAGGUGGUGCGAGUCCAGGAGGAACUGCAAGUGGAGCGUAGAAGUUGGCGACAAACUUUAGCUUUACGGCAUGAAGAUCAGAAAAGAAUGGCUGUUUUAGAGCAACAGGUCCAAUCGUCUGCUAGAGACUUUGAGAACGAAAAACAGGACCGACAAAGUCUACAGCACCUGCUCCACAAAGUGCUGAAGGAGCUUCGCAAGGCUAGAGACCAAAUCACACGCUUGGAGUCGGCAGAAAUCCACGUUCACCAAAGUAUCACUUUUAAAAAAAAGAAACUGCAGCGAGAAACUCGGUUCUCUGAGCCAAGCUCAUGCACCAGGCUGGAUUUGGAUAAGACGACCAAUCAGGACCGUAUCCUGAACCCCACAUCUCCAUUAAAGAGCUCCAACACGUUGGAUGAGCGCUUUCUGGACUGUCCCAUCUGCAGCGCCUCAUACCCUGUCAGCCAGCACAGAAAGCUCCUUGAACACAUUGACUACUGCUUUAAUUAAGGGAUUAGGGCUUGAUAUUGCUUAUAUUUUCCAUUUUUCCUCUUUUUUAUGUCUUUUUAUAUUUUUGUAUUCCAAAUCAAAUUUCCACUGUUUUUGCAUUUAGUUUUGGAUUAAUCAAUGGUGUGCUUGAUCGGCUUUUGAGUAUUUGCAAAGGUACUGCCUUUCCAUCAAUGUGGAGCAUAUUUAAAGUACAUUUUAACUUCUGUUCGUUCUGGUUGGGUAACUGUAAUGUGCCCAAGUGGCAAGUUUUCUUCCCUAGUAUCACCUCAAAGGUGUUGAAGUGGCACAGGAUAGACUCACUUUCAGUAAUCUGUCCUGAUGCUGGAAAUCAGAACUGUCUUGAAUUAGGCUGCAUGUGUGUAAAUCCUUGUAUUAGACCGAUUUAAUGAAAACAAAGCAAAUCAUCCAAAAUCACUGAGCAACCUCGUGGUCAAGAAACCGGCAAAAGACAGACAGUCAGCAAACAGGACAAACUAGGUCAGGCCAUAAACACGGGAACUUUGGACAGAAACAGGAUCAAACGAGGAAUGACACACAAAGUGAAAACACGGCUUGGUAAUGUCAGACCAUAAACACGGGAACUUUGGACAGAAACAGGAUCAAACGAGGAAUGACACACAAAGUGAAAACACGGCUUGGUAAUGUCAGAACACAUGUUAAGCUGAGCUUAUACUUUGCAAAGAAUGAAUGAAAUUCCACUGCAGUGGAAAAACAUAAUGCUGAGGAUGAGAAGAAGCUUUUAGUUACAGUAGUACUGUGUACUGCAUGAAUCCUAAGUGCACACCAAACAGCUUUCAAAAUGAUGUACCAAUGUACCAAUCACAGUACAGUUCUUUUCUUUUAUAUCCAUUUUAUGUUACAGUAGUGCAGACAGAACAAAUGGCACUUAAUCAAAAGGAUAUUGUUAGUAAAAGUUAGAAAAAAAUCUGUUUACACAUCAAUACACUAUAUGUUCAAAAGUAUGUGGACGCCUGACCAUCACACCCAUAUGGCCUUCCCCAAACUGUAGCCGCAAAGUUGGAAGCACACAACUGUCUAAAAUGUCUUUGUAUGAAGUAGCAUUACAAUUUCCCUUCACUGGAACUAAGGGGCCCUCUCAGGGCCCUCUCAUCCAACACCAGUGCCUAACCUCUUGCAUUCUUGUGGCUGAAUGGGCAAAUCCCCACAGCCCCAGUCCAAAAUCUAGUGAAAAGUAUUUCCAGAAGAGUGGAGUUAUAGGAGUGAAGGGGAGACCACAUCUAUAUUAAUGCCUACGUUUUUAGAAUGGGAUGUUCAAAACUCAGGUGUCCACAUACUUUUGGUCAUACCAUGUACAUUCUAAAAAAAAAAGAGCUUAUCCUGUUUGUGUUCCAUAAUCAAUGCUUUUAUGCUUGUAAUAAUAAUAAUUUAGUCAUUCUAUUUAUAUUAUAAUGUUGUUGAAUUCUUAAAUCUGACUGGUCAGGAGGUGUUCAUUAGUUUUCUAAUGCCUCGUGAUAACAGGACUUAACUGCCACAACAUUAAGCAGAACUAUAAACUGAUUUUUAAAAAGCAUGCCGAGUUAUUGUUUACUUCAUUUGAAAAAAUAUUGUUGUCAAAUGACUGUGUUAUAAGAGUAUAAAACACUUUGGGAUGUGCUGUUAUAAGAAAAGAAUCUGCUUAGGGGUUGUAACCAAAUCACACCAUGAAGAUUUCCUAUGGAAAUAACACAGCCUAGUAUGUUUUAGUCCUUAGAUAUCAUGCUGGCCUUAUUUACUUUGAUAUUGCCUCGAUACCACUUCACAAGCAAGAGCUGUGUAGGCUAACAUUUAGCCUAUUAUUUAUUUGAUGUUUUCCGAAUUUGUGUCCAUGUGACUUUCUACUGUGUUUAGG